GCAUUGUAAAAGUCAUGAAAACUAGAUUUAUAUAGUAUGUCAAAAAUGGCAAUAGUGGGCGCCUGGCUAGCUCAGUUCGUACAGCGGGCGCCCAUGUAUGGCUAAGGCUGAGUCUUAGCCGCGGUCGACCCGGGUUCGAAUCCGGACCUGUGGACCUUUGCCGCAUCUCUCUCUCUCUGUUUCCCCUCAUUCCAUGACUCUUAGUCACCAAAAAAAAAAAAAGGUCUAUAGCAUGUUAGGUAUGUUAGGAAUGUUAGCUUAGUAUAGUGCGUGAUGAAAAAAGUCGUGUUAAAAAAAAAAAAAAAAAAGUCAAUAGUAUAGCAUGUUAGGUAUGUUAGGAAUGUUAGCCAAGAUAGUGCGUGAUGAAAAGAUUUCGUGAUAAGUCAGGAUGUUAGGUAUGUUAGGAAUGUUAGCUUAGUAUAGUGCGUGAUGAAAAAAGUCGUGUUAAAAAAAAAAAAAAAAAAA